rnacentral:rRNA from 1 species
UGGUGGGGUGACUUGUCUGCUUAAUUGCGAUAACGAACGAGACCUUAACCUGCUAAAUAGCCCGCAUUGCUCCGCAGUGCGCUGGCUUCUUAGAGGGACUUUCGGCUCAAGCCGAAGGAAGUUUGAGGCAAUAACA